GUGGGUAUAGCUCAAUGGUAGAGUGUGUGCUUAGCAUGUAUGAGGUCCUGUGUUUAAUCCCCAGUAUUUCCA
rnacentral:tRNA from 1 species